UACAGGGGGUGCAAACGUUGCUCGGAAUCAUUGGGCGUAAAGCGUACGUAGGCGGUCCAGCAAGUCGGGUGUGAAAGCCCUCGGCUUAACCGAGGAAGUGCAUUCGAAACUACAGGACUUGAAUACUGGAGAGGAUUGCGGAAUUCCCGGUGUAGAGGUGAAAUUCGUAGAUAUCGGGAGGAACACCAGUGGCGAAGGCGGCAAUCUGGACAGAUAUUGACGCUGAUGUACGAAAGCGUGGGGAGCAAACAGG
rnacentral:rRNA from 1 species